AUUAAAAGCAACUGGUUUAAACUUAACUGUUUUGAUUUCUGUGAUUUACCUUACAUGCUAAUUAGAUAUCAUUUAAACAAUAAAAAAGCAUGCAUAUAUAGACAAUAUAAAUAUACUUAAGUCAUAACUUGAGGUAGAUUUCUAAAACUCCCAUUGAAAGACCCCCUCCCAGAAAGGGAAUUGUACAAGCCCAAGGCCCUCAACUAUAGAAGUAAAAAGUAAGUUUUUAGAUAUGUGGGACAAGCUGACCCAUCAUUUAGACGAAACAGACCAGAAAAGAAAACAAAAUGCAGAAACCAGACUAAAUUAUGGGCACUGCUCCAUGGGCCACCUGGCAGAAAAAAGAAAAAGUCCCUGACCCCCCGGAAGCCCUGACCACCAUGUACUUUUUGCUAACUCACUGUUAUGAUUAUAGCCAAAAUAGGUAACAUACACGUAUGCCUCAUUUACUCCACCAAUCACAUCCCUGUAACCAUGCAUCUGCUUCUGUAAGCCUGCUUCUGCUCCCAAUACACUAUAAAAACCCGUCCCUGGCUCUGCUAGGCGCACCAGUCUUCCAAAUUGACUGGGACGCCCACAGAUAUCUGUGUAUCCUGAUCAAUAAAAAUCCUCUUGCAGAUUGCAGCCUGUGGACUCGGACUGGUCAUUGGGCUUGAGGAUCUCCCUCCUGAGGGAAGAUUCUCUCUGAGAGUCUUACAUAUGGGGGCUCGUCCGGGAUCGGAGAUCCUCUGCCUAGAGACCACCGACCACCCACCGGGAGUAACUGUUACAGGUCUUCUUUACCACUGAGGAAAGACGGAAUCCUACUGGAGGCCAGAAAGAAUGUUCCAGACAUGGAUAGAAGACCCUCACUCCUGACUGUUGACUUGAAUACUCCUGAAGGUAGGGAGUGCUCCAGGUCUGCCACCAGGCUCCAAGGGUGGGUCUCCGAGGGGCUGGAAAAUGCCCCACCAAUCUGGCUAAGAUAAGGAAAAGAUAUAAAGAAAGAAAGUUACAGAAAUUUGAAGGGUUAAGCUAAGUUGCUGAGAGUUAGUGUAAGUUGCAGAGAAAGUAAAGUUGAAGUGUAGUUACAUAAGUGGACAGCAUCUAAUAGCUGUAGAGGAAGAUGCAGAAGAUAUGAGAGAGAGACUGAGGAAGAGAAAGAGGAAAGAAGGUAAAAAGAGCAGGAAGCUAAGGAAGAAAAGAGACAAAAGGAAAAAGAAGCUAGAGAGCUAAA